GCGGCGGACGGGUGAGUAACGCGUGGGUAACCUGCCCUGUACACACGGAUAACAUACCGAAAGGUAUGCUAAUACGGGAUAACAUAAGAAAGUCGCAUGGAUUUCUUAUCAAAGCUUUUGCGGUACAGGAUGGACCCGCGUCUGAUUAGCUAGUUGGUAAGGUAACGGCUUACCAAGGCGACGAUCAGUAGCCGACCUGAGAGGGUGAUCGGCCACAUUGGAACUGAGACACGGUCCAAACUCCUACGGGAGGCAGCAGUGGGGAAUAUUGCACAAUGGGCGAAAGCCUGAUGCAGCAACGCCGCGUGAGCGAUGAAGGCCUUCGGGUCGUAAAGCUCUGUCCUCAAGGAAGAUAAUGACGGUACUUGAGGAGGAAGCCCCGGCUAACUACGUGCCAGCAGCCGCGGUAAUACGUAGGGGGCUAGCGUUAUCCGGAAUUACUGGGCGUAAAGGGUGCGUAGGCGGUCUUUCAAGUCAGAAGUGAAAGGCUACGGCUCAACCGUAGUAAGCUUUUGAAACUGUAAGACUUGAGUGCAGGAGAGGAGAGUGGAAUUCCUAGUGUAGCGGUGAAAUGCGUAGAUAUUAGGAGGAACACCAGUUGCGAAGGCGGCUCUCUGGACUGUAACUGACGCUGAGGCACGAAAGCGUGGGGAGCAAACAGG
rnacentral:rRNA from 1 species